rnacentral:rRNA from 1 species
UACGUAGAAGACUAGUGUUAUUCAUCUUUAAUAGGUUUAAAGGGUACCUAGACGGUAUAAUUAGUCUUUAACGGGAAACGGUUAUACUAGAGUUAUAUAUGAGGAGGUGAGUAUUUGUGGAGUAGAGUUGAAAUUCUUUGAUACCAUGAAGACUGGUAAAGGCGAAAGCAACCUUUUAUCUAAUAACUGACGUUGAGGGACGAAGGCUCGGGUCGCGAACAGG